rnacentral:rRNA from 1 species
GACGAACGCUGGCGGCGUGCUUAAAAACAUGCAAGUCGAACGGACUUCUCAUGAAGCUUGCAAUUGAGAAGUUAGUGGCGGACGGGUGAGUAACGCGUGGGCAACCUGCCCCUGAGCCCGGGAUAACAGUUCGAAAGGACUGCUAAGACCGGAUAUACUUGCGGGGAAGCAUUUCUCUGUAAGGAAAGGGAACGCUCAGGGAUGGGCCCGCGUCCCAUUAGCUAGUUGGUGAGGUAACGGCCCACCAAGGCGACGAUGGGUAGCCGGCCUGAGAGGGUGAACGGCCACACUGGGACUGAGACACGGCCCAGACUCCUACGGGAGGCAGCAGUUGGGAAUCUUCGGCAAUGGGCGCAAGCCUGACCGAGCAACGCCGCGUGAGUGAUGAAGGUUUUCGGAUUGUAAAGCUCUGUCUUCCGGGACGAUAAUGACGGUACCGGAGGAGGAAGCCACGGCUAAACUACGUG